rfam:Erinaceus europaeus unplaced genomic scaffold scaffold00166, whole genome shotgun sequence
GAGUACGUCCACACCACCCUGAACACGCCCGAUCUCAUCUGAUCUCAGAAGCUAAGCAGGGUCGGGCCUGGUUCGUACCUGGAUGGGAGAAAAUAGUCUCAAAGAUUUCCUGGCACAGUGGACCCC